rnacentral:rRNA from 1 species
GAUGAACGCUAGCGGCAGGCUUAACACAUGCAAGUCGAGGGGUAGAGGAAGCUUGCUUCCUUGAGACCGGCGCACGGGUGCGUAACGCGUAUACAAUCUACCUUUUACAGAGGGAUAGCCCCAGAGAAAUUUGGAUUAAUACCUCAUAGUAUUUUCGGAUCGCAUGAUUUGAUUAUUAAAGUUCCAACGGUAAAAGAUGAGUAUGCGUCCCAUUAGCUAGAUGGUAAGGUAACGGCUUACCAUGGCAAUGAUGGUAGGGGUCCUGAGAGGGAGAUCCCCACACUGGUACUGAGACACGGACCAGACUCCUACGGGAGGCAGCAGUGAGGAAUAUUGGACAAUGGNGGCAAGCCUGAUCCAGCC